GACGAACGCUGGCGGCGUGCCUAAUACAUGCAAGUAGAACGCUGAAGAGAGGAGCUUGCUCUUCUUGGAUGAGUUGCGAACGGGUGAGUAACGCGUAGGUAACCUGCCUUGUAGCGGGGGAUAACUAUUGGAAACGAUAGCUAAUACCGCAUAACAAUGGAUGACACAUGUCAUUUAUUUGAAAGGGGCAAUUGCUCCACUACAAGAUGGACCUGCGUUGUAUUAGGUAGUAGGUGAGGUAAGGGCUCACCUAGGCGACGGUACAUAGCCGACCUGAGAGGGUGGUCGGCCACACUGGGACUGUGACACGGCCCAGACUCCUUCGGGAAGCAGCCAUAGGGGAACGUCGGCAAUGGGGGCAACCCAGACCGAGCCACGCCGCGGGAGUGUAGAAGGGUUUCGGGUCGUAAAGCUCUGUUGUAAGUCAAGAAAGGGUGUGAGAGUGGAACGUUCACACUGUGACGGUAGCUUACCAGAAAGCGACGGCUAACUACGUG
rnacentral:rRNA from 1 species